CCCGUGACCAAGAGGAAAAUUGAAUAAUGGAAUUAUCUCCAGAAUGCCGAGUACUCGUAUAGUUAGCCCACUUCCAGGAUUACUUCUCUCGGCCUAGGCUGUAGAGUGAGCAAUACUUAUCAUGCUCAGUUUUCAUUAGGACAACAGGACUAGUGACAAAUUCCAUUCUAACUCUGUUCUAGCUAUACUUCCACGUGCAAUCGAGGAUUACUUGUUGACAGCAAGAAGUGAAGGACAUCUCUAAUUUUGUAUAUUCGCAUAAUUGAUUAUAUGAAAUUUAGGCCGUAGCAUCAAGCACUGGACUUUCUUUUGGGCAUUCGGCACUGAGAUAGUGGGGGAAAAAAAGGAGUUGGAGUCACUAGAGGCAAGAUGAAGAGAUCCAGGAAAUAAAAAAGGAAGCUGGAAUUGAGUGAGGAAAGUGAAAAUGAAGUGGAUAAUGUUGAAUAUGAUAUAUUGCAUGGCAGUGAUAAUGAAACUUUAGACAACAGUGAUGAAGACACAAACUAUGUUCCAUAGUCAAUUGAAUGUGAGGAUAGUGAUGAAGUUGAAGAAUUUAAGUUACCAAUGGCCAAGAAACUGCGCAAAUCUACCCCUCAUAAGCGGAAAAUGCCCACCAGGUGGGAGCCAGACUCUGUCUCCCUUGCCAGCAAAGAUGCCUUUACCAGAUCCUACUCAACCCGC